CUGUAUUCCCAUAAUGCAAGUCAUCUGUAUUGGGCCUUUAAGGCACAAACUGCACAUGCACGGGCGUCUUCCAAGUGCAUUUGCUGUCUAGAGACUGGGGAGAGAGCUUGGUCUGUAGCAUACAUGGCCCUUGAACACCCAGAGAACGGGAAUAAAUCUCUGGGACUGAGGGAAGCAUAAGAAAUAAAGAAAAAAUGCAUGCAAGGUGAUAAAAAGGCAACAAGGUGCAA